AAAUGCAUAGUAAAACGACUUCAUGGAAAAAGCAGAGGGUGAUGGUGGAAGGUUGCUUUUCGGACAGGAGACCUGUGCCUCAGGGUUCCGUGUCGCUGUUUGUCAUCUAUAUCAAUGAUUUGGA